rnacentral:tRNA from 1 species
GCAUUGGUGGUUCAGUGGUAGAAUUCUUAUCUUCCUUGGGGGUGACCCGAGUUUGAUUCCUGGCCAAGGCA